rnacentral:lncRNA from 1 species
CGGGCGCUAAUAUACAUGUAAUAUUUAAAACAAUUAACACAAGAUACUAGUUAAAUGCUACAUAAAAGAAGGGGAGUUUCAUACAAUAAAAAUGAAUUGGAGAAUUAAGACUGUGUUUUUUGUUUUAUUUAUAUGUUUAGUAAACGGAAUUAAUGCUGCAACAUCUUCAAGCUGCUCUGAUAUUCGUGUUGUGGACCUAUCUCACGUGCAUGGACCAAAACCUCUGACGGCUCCAUUCUUUCCACCUUACAGUUUUGAAAUUGUAAAUAGAUCUAUCAGUGAGGCACUUGGCGGUAAUUGGUAAGUAACGCAUGUAAUUAUUAUGGAUAUACGCAAAAAAUAAGUAGGUUUCCAAAAGACUGUUAUAAAUUGAUAGUUUUACACUUACAAAAUCUUUUGAGAUUUGAGCAAUUGAAAAUUUCACAGGAAAUAAUUCUGUCUUUUUAUUCAUAACCAUUUGCACCUACUUUGUUUCGAUCAUUUUAACCAAAUAACAAGUACUUUAUAAAUACAUUCAAAAAUAUCUUUUCAAACUGUAUGUAAUUAAGUUAUGGAAAAAAGUAGAGGCCAGCGUUCAAAGUUUUGAAUGUUUAACAUUGAUAUAGCUAGUGAACUCCAUUUUUUUUUACAACAAUACAAUAGAAGAGAAGCAGAGGUGGAUUUUAGGAGGGGGCAGGGGGGGGGCGCCCCCCCCCCUUUUUCAGAAAAAUUUUGGUUGGUUAUAUAGGGAAUCCCUUAAGCUUGACGAAAUCGGCCCCCUCCUUAUGUAGUCAGGGGGCCCCUCUUAUGAAAAUUUCUAGAUCCGCCACUGAGAAGUGAUCAUCCUUCAGAAAAUAUACAUGUGUAAGGAUUUCUUUGGUUGUAAUUUGAGUGCAAUAUUCAGCUCAAUUAGUUUUAUAGCCCGGUAGUCAACACUUCGGUUUUGACAUGAAUAUCAAUAAUGUGGUAAUUUUUAUAAAUGACCUGUUUACAAAACUUUUUUUUUUGAAUUUUCGAAAAACUAAGGAUUUUCUUAUCCCAGCCAUAUAUUACCUUUGCCGUAUUUGGCACAAUUUUUGGAGUUUAGGAUCCUCAAUGCUCUUCAACUUUCUACUUGUUUGGCUUUAUAAAUAUUUUAAUAUGAGCGUCACUGAUGACUCUUGUUUAGACGAAACACGCGUCUGGCGUACUAAAUUAUAAUCCUGGUACCUUUGAUAGCUAUUUACAGAUGAUAUUUGAUAUAAAAAAGAAGAUGUGGUAUGAUUGCCAAUGAGACAACUAUCCACAAAAGUCCAAAAUGACACAGACAUUAACAGCUAUAGGUCACCGUACGGCCUACGAAUAAGCAAAGCCCAUACCGCAUAGUCAGCUAUAAAAGGCCCCGAUAAGACAAUGUAAAACAAUUCAAAUGAGAAAACAAACGGCCUUAUUUAUGUAAAAAAAUGAUGAACGAAAAACAAAUAUGUAACAUAUAAACAAACGACAAUCACUGAAUUACAGGCUCCUGACUUGGGACAGGCACAUACAUAAAACAUGUGGCGGGGUUAAACAUGUUAGCGGGAUCCCAACCCUUCCCUAACUUGGAGACAGUGGUAUAACAGUACAACAUAGGAACGAACUAUAAAAAUCAGUUGAAAAAUUAUGUUGGUAAUUAAACAAUUUAACGAAAUUAAUAUGCGUUAUCAGUUUUAGAAAUCAAUGCUCUCUCAGAGUAAUAAUAAAGUUCAAAGUUCAAAUAUUUAUUGUCAUAAAAACUCUGAACAAUAAGUUUGUGACAAAUAAUAUAAACAUACACAAAAUACAUUUAACAAACAAAACCAUAAAACAAAAAAAAGCAAAAAAGCAAAAUAAUCUAUCUAUAUGAUAUAUAAAUAUAUUUUAUAAAUAAAUCAAGAGUCCCCUGUCCUCAGUUCUAAUGCCUGUUUAAAAUAGGACCCUCAGCUUUCUACUUCUUUUGAGGUUGAUGGACAAAGAAGAUAUUUAAUUUUUUCAUUUUCUUGCCAGGACAUAAAAUCUGGCAUAUGUUUAAUUACAUUUCCUAUAAAGUUAUCUCUUAGUUUAGCAAUUUUUUUGCAGUAUAAAAUAAAAUGGGCUUCAUCUUCCAUUGUAUUACAGGAUGUGCAUAGUCUUUUUUCUCUACGUAUUUUUAAAUGUCUUCCUUUUUCUAUCAUUAAAUUAUGAUCGCUAAUUCUCAUUUUUGUUAUGUUACUUCUCUUUUCAAAAGAUUUACAGUUUAAGUAGUUUUCCAUUUCUAAAUUUUGCUUUAAACUUUUAUAUAAAUACAAUUUACUUUUUUGAUCUAUUUUUCAAUUUUUUUGUUCAAAUAUAUUUGUGUAUAAAUUUAAGAAUUGAUGUUUUAAGGUUUUUUUAAACAUUUUGAGUAAUUUUUUCUUUUGUUUCCCUCAAGAAUAAUAAACUUAAUGUUCAGUAAUAUCUCAAUAGAAAAUUGAACACCUAAGAAACUCGAGUUGACGAAUAACAUGAUCAACCUGUUAGAGCGGUAGCAUAUAGUUCUAUCAAAAUAUCAAGUAAAAGGGCGAGUGAAAUUUUCUGAAUGAACAUGGGGACGACAUCAAAAGUUCAAUGAAGGAUUAAAAAACUUAAUUCACAUAGUUUUUCACUGACCCCCCACCCCCCUAUUAACUUAAUUUGGGAAAAAUUGAUUACAUAUGGAUAUAUGUAAAAAUCAAUGUCUUAGACAAAUUUAUAAAAAUAAUGUAUACAAAGCUAUGAAAAAAAUGUAAACAAGUUUUUGAAAAUAAUGUUUACAUUUUUUUUUUUAAAUUACCAGAUGCAUACAGAGUUCGUAAAAACAACUGUUUUUCCCAAAUUUUUGAAUAUUAUACAUAUCUUACAAGAAACGUUUGGACUUACUACUUUUGAAAGUACAACCCAUGUAUAAGAAGAUGAUUGAUCGCGGCAAAUGAGACAACUAUCCACCAAAGAUAAUAUUCCGCGUAUUCAAAUGCCAUUAUUAGACAAAACCCAUAUCGCAUUGUAAAUUAUAAAAGUGCAUAUUACCAACAUAUAAAGCAAUUCAAAGGUUUAUGGUUCAAUGAGAUAUAUAGACGUUGUUUUCAUUGUCAUCAUCGGUUUUGCAGAAUUAUAUGCGAUAGCUACAGAUUAUUCAAACAUACUUUCUUAAAGUGUGGAAUAACAGUUAACAAAGUUGACAAAUGUUUAAAUAAAUGUAAAAAUAUCUCACUAUAAUAAAUAUCCGAACAAAUAUUUUGGUGGGCAAGUAUAUUUACUUCGUCUUUUAACUAAUGCUCUGGUUUUAAUAUAAUUUUCAUUCAUAUAGGUUUGAGACUAACUAUAUUAGAACAUCUGAACACAGUGGAACCCACAUAGACUCCCCUUCUCACUUCUACAGAAACAAAAAACGCAUGCACAAUAUUCCAUUACACAAAUUAUAUGGACCAGGAGUUAUCAUAGAUAUCAGGAGACAGGUCUCGGGAAACGUGAAUUACAGAGUAAAAGUAUCGGACAUUAAACGAUGGGAAGCAAUUCAUGGCCGAAUACCGAAGGGAGCUGUUGUACUUUUUAAUUCCGGAUGGUCUAGCAGAUACCCAGAUCCAUUUAAAGUGUUUAAUACUCAAAACACUUCUGAUGUUUCUUCAUACGAGUUUCCAUCUUAUGAAUUCAAAGCAAUUACAUUUUUAGCGAAAUUUCGUUCUGUAAACAUAGUUGGAAGUGACACUCCGUCUAUUGGCGACUCGCCACCGGGUAAAGUUGAUUUGUCUAAUUUCACAUUUCUAUUUCAAAGAAACAUACCUGUGGUAUUGAAUGUUGCCAAUCUGGACAGACUACCUCUUUCAGGAUCGACAAUAUUUGUUCCCGCUAUCAACAUAUAUGAUGGAAGUGGUGCUCCUGCCAGAAUUUUUGCAACAGUUCCAGCGUCCAAAAUGGUAAAGAAAUAUUAUGGUUGAGCUUAUAAUAUUUCAUAUCGGUCUAUUGUUUUAAUCGUAAAUGACUGCUAUAUAAACAGUUCCAGCGUCAAAAACGAAAGAAAAA